CAAGAUCAGGUUUCGCAGGGCCCCACCCAAUCUGGCCUCCAACACUUCCUACAGUGGGGAAUUGACAGCUUCUGUGAACAACCUACUCUAGUGCUUUACCACCCUUUGAGUAAAUAAUUUCUUCCUGUCCUCUUUUAGUCUAAAGCCAUUGCCCCUUGAGCUGUUAUUGGCUGCCUGUAUAGAAUCACAGAAUCAUGGAACCAUAGAAUGAUUUGGGUUGAAUGGAACCUUCAGAGAUCCAAUACCACUCUGCCAAUGGAAGGGUCUCUCUUAUCAGAUCUGCUAGCUCAAAGUCUUGUCUUUCUCUAUCUUUCUUAUUACUCCCUUUAUAUAUUGAAAGGUUUUCCCUGGAACUUUUUAUUCUCCAGGCUGAACAAUUUUUUUUUUUUUUCCUUCCCCACAGGAGAGGUGUUCCAUCAUCCCUCUAAUAAUUUUCAUAUCCUCUUCUGGCCCUGCUCCAAUAGAUCCAUGUCUUUCUUGUAUUGAGAACUCCAGAAGUGGGUGAAGUACUCAAGUGGGGUCUUAUGAGACCAGAGCUGAGAACCACCCCCUCAACCUGCUAGCCAUGCUGCUUUUGAUGCAGACAAAGACAUGGUUGGCUUUCUGGUCUGCAAGUGCACAUUGCUGGGUCACGUCCUACUUUUCAUCUACCAGUAUCUAUCCUCACAUCCUUCUUCACAGGCCUGCUCUCAAUCCCUUCAUUCUCCAGUCUGUGUUGAUAUUGAGGAAUGCCCACAUCAAGUUGUAGGACUUGGCCUUAUUGACCUUCAUGAGGUUCACAGAGGCCCACUGCUCAAGCCUGUCAGGGUACCUCUAGAUGGGAUCCCUGGCCUCCUGCAUUAACUGCAGCACUCAGCUUGGUGUCAUCUGCAGAACUGGUGCCGCAGCUGACGCCGGGAGAGAGAGGAGAAGCACUGUGUGUGGUUCUGAAGAAUUUUUUAUUGGGAUCUUCCACGAAGGUUCUCAGUGACAGCUCUUCUACUGAACUGGGCAGAAGUAGGGGUUUAUAUACCUUACAGGGGUUUUGGAAAUUGUCCAAUAGUAAGGGUCAAAGGAAAGUGACCUAUAGGCUUACAGAGAGAUAAGCACAAGUCCAAAGGUGGAAGAGAGGGGCUUCUAAGGUCCAGUCAUCACGCCUUGGCAUUUCCUAGCUCAGGCUUCUGACCUCCAAGGAGCCAUUGCAGGCACUGGGCAUGCAACAUGGAUUAGACACAUUAACCCUUCAGUGUGUGAGCAGAAUGCAAUUUCCACACAUACGCAGGAGACUUAUUUUUCUGAGUCAACCUAGGGGGAAAAAAAGAGAACUCUGCAUAAAAUCACUUUCUUUUCUUAUGAAUCUUGUUUUUUCCUAUCAGCAGCAUUCAACUGGUACUCAAAAUCCUCUUUUAACUGUUUUCUUGCAGGGACUUCUUAGCAGCAUUAUAUGAAGUGGGGCUUGUUUUUAAUAGGAUCCAUCAAAUAGGAUUUGGAUGUCAAAAAGAUUUUGGGAAAGUAAUGUUUAAUUUCUCCUGGUUAAUGUCCAGUUGAAGGUACUCUGGGAGCUAACUAUACUAUUUUAAACUUGCAAGAGUAGCUUUUGUUUUAACAAACUUGUAUUGCAAAAUUAUGUAGUGGUAGAGAUAAGUUACUGUUCUAUGUCUAAAUAAUAUUAAUUUGAAAAAUAUUUAUGAUCUGCAAAUUUCUUAGUUUUCAUAUCCAUUACUAUGAUGAACUAUGGAAACAUUGAACAUGGAAAAAAAUUAUUGAAUUAGCAUUUCCACUGAUGAAAAAUCAGAUGGGCUGCAUUGCAUGAUCAAGUAUUGCUGAAAAUCAGGAGACCUGUAGAGGAAAAUGCUGCUGACUACCAUACCCAGUAUACUUGGUAUAUUCAUUUGUAGCCAUUACUUUAUAGAAUCUUUUCCUCUCAUUCCUGGCAAAAUUUGUAUGGUUAGAAUAAAAUGGGGGUGGGGAGGAAUACAUCUAAAUUUAGGGUGAAUGGGCAAUGUACAUAGUAAAUACACUGUCUCUUUUUAAUCCACUUUAAUACUUACAGAACUUGAAUUGAGAAUAACAUUAGAAUAAAAUCUGGGCAGAAGUUUGACAGAUGUAUGCCAAAAGCCUCCUGUCUGACUUAGUCAGGAUAGACAGUGGUCUAAAACUGUUCAAUCUCUGAAAUUUUUCUUUGACCAUAAGAAAAGAGAAGAAAUCCUUCCCAGACCUACUAGCAAAAAAAGUGUCAGAUUGUUUGCUUGAAUGUGAUAACAUGAAAAAAAACCUGACUCUACUUUUAGAAGUUAUUUUAAAGGCAAUGAUAUUUAUUUGACCCUGCUGCUUUUCAAGUUUCACCUUUGAGUUUUUGUCUUGCACACUAAUCUCAAAGUAACUAAUAAUGGCAUUAAUAGAUUGAUGAGUAUCAAAUACUAUCCAAUUUUCAAAAACUGAACAAGAACUGAACAAGCCUCCAUGCAUAGUCAGCCAUAUAUUAUAAUGGUGAUAAAAUUAGGCCUUAAACAGCUAACAUAAAGAAUGGCAGGUAGCCUAAAGUAGAGCAAAUAAAAAGGUAAGAUGAUUGAGCCACAAAAAGUCUUAUAGGGAACAACUAUGUUUACUAUGAAAAAUGAAAUGAAGGAAAAAAUAUUUUAAAAACAUCUCCUACUAAGAAGAAAGAACAUUAGGAGACAGGAUGGAAGGAAAUGGCAUAAAGCUGUGUCAGGGGAAAUUCAGUUUGGGUAUUAGUAAAGAGCUUGUCACUGUGAGAGUGGCCAAACACUAGCACAGGCUGCCCAGGAAGGUGGUCAUGGCCCCAAGCUGUCAGUGCUCAGCAAGUGUUGGAUAGCGCUCUGACAUGCUGUUCAGCUUUUAGGCUGCUUUGUGUGGAUUUGGGAGCUGGACUUGAUGAUCAUUGUGGGUUCCUUCCAAAUCAAGAUACCCAAUGAUUCUGUGGGUUUGGAUUUGCUAGACAGGUAUUUCGAGUGACAUGAGUAUAAUCAAAAUAAAGGUGCUAUUUAAUGUAUAGGAAUUAAGAGAAAAAAGCACACAAGUCAGAUGUUUAACACCAUGAUGGAUAUUAAUGUUGCAACUACUUUGCUCUAUUGAGUCUGUUUUCUUCUUUCUUCCUAGCAUCCCUUAAAAACCACAAACAGCCAAAUAUACACGAUAUAACCUGCACUUCAAGUUAUAGAGGAAUAUAGCAAUAACCCAUCUGCACAUUAACCUAACUACAUGCAUUCUGGCCCUCUGUCCCAAUUCACAGUACCUCUACAGAUUUUACAUUUAGCAGUUCUUAAGGCAGAAGAUCAUGUGAGAAGAUCAGAUCUUGUGAAGAGAUUUGGUUUCUUUUCUAUUUAAGAAAUUCACCACUACUCAGACUUUUUAUCGGUUCUUUAUCAUUAAUCCAGUUCCCUUUAAACCAACAGAAAGACUCCCUAUUUAUACUGAAAGAAAAUAGAUUCAUAAUCAACAUGAUGUAAAUAUUUUGGGAGGAUCAACAGAGAUAAAACCAGUUAGACAAUCAGUGCUCCAGAGAGUUUGUCUUUAUAUAAUUUUUUUAAAAGGCUGGCAGUAUGGGCAGGUAAAAAGACAAGACUCUUUCAAGGCUGAAUAUAGUAAUGCAACAUGGUUACAGUUUAGAGGACAUUACAGACUUCUUCACAAACACUGGGUCUAAGUUUGCUGUUUUAAACUGAAACUUUGUAAAAAACUGAUCUGCUGCAUUCACAGACUAUACACAUACCACAGCACAAAAUGUCCUCACAACAGAAAAAAAUUCAUGAAGGCCAUCAAGUUAAAACAUAUUUUAUUUUCUGUCAUAAUGCAACCUUACACCAAAAUGUAAUUACUUUCUCAUCACCAAUAAACAAAACAUUUCAAGUGAACAGUUUACAAGGGGUAGCAGUGCAGCAGGCACGCGCGCCGAAGGGAGGACAAGCGCAGGGAUGCCGCAUUGGCUGCGGCCAGCCGCAGUUUGCUGGUGGGGCUGGAAGCGCCGUCCCAGGCCCGGCAGCCUCCAAGGGCGCAGACCGGGCCGCUCACGUUUCCCGCCCGGAGCCAGGGCCGUGCCCGCGGCCCGUUCCCGCCUGCCCCGGCCCCGGCCCUGGCCCCGCGCUCCUCCUGAGCCCACACGCUUCCCCGGCCCGCACGGAGCCCAGCCCCGCUGCCCGCGCAGGGCCGGGCGGGCGGCGGCUCCGGCCGGGAGUGCCCGGGAGGGGAAGCGGGAAGGAGGGAGCGCUGUGGCCGAGACAGCCCCUCGCAGCGGGCCGAGGCAGAGACGAGUACGUGCUACUCCAGUGCUCCCUCGGCUCCCGCUCGCUGCAAACCUGAGCGACCGCAGUUACUGUAAUAUGGGAAAAUUUAACUGGUGUCGCUUUCCCCUGACCAACAAUUCAUGCAUUGAUAAAAUGACACCACAGUGGUUCAUGUCAGCAGACCAUUAAACCCAAGUUUGGGGAUUUGGCACCACAGAUGAAUAUUUAAUCGUAAGAGCUGUUCUGUGUUUUGCCUACAAAUGUAGCAAAUAAAACGUGUUCCCAAACAGAAGAAAAUAUAGAUAGCGCUUUGUUGGUCAAGAGUUGCCAGGAAAAGAACCCAACCACACCACAAGAACACACUGAUUUUUAUCUGCUGUGUACACCAUUCGCCAGAAUAGUUAUAGUUUGCUGAUUCAUUAAGUCCCUUGUCACCUUGCAUUUUAGGUGGUAGUUUGUUUUAUGUGCUCAAGGGAUAUAAAUCUCUACAAAAUCAGAAUGUGUAAAUUCUUAGUCAGAUGUACAUAUAUUACAUAAAAUACAGCAAGAGAGAAACAUACUCUUAAAUUUGAUUUCUUAAUACAGUAAAUUAAAAGGUAGUUGAUACAUGGAGGUGUUUUGUUUUUGUUUUUCCUCAUUGCGCUUCUUUCUCUUUUCCUCAUUUCUAGUGCUGUAUCUUUCUACUUUGCACCAUCUCUAGUGCUUAUUAUCUCAUGCAGCAUUACAAUUAAUUUGGUAAUCCAGAAAAAAAUUCUUGCAUAAUUCUGGUUUCAUUGUCUGUUAGUCCAUGAAAAUUUAUUAAAUUACUACCAGAGUCAAUGCAGAAUACAGAAGCAGGAGAACAUACCUGGAAGGAAGGUUGAUAUGGGAGAAGCAAGAUUUAAAACUGUAGGCUGUAGGUAAAAACCCCUCAGGCUGCCUUAUCUUCUUUAAAUAUGCCAGAAGGCUUGGAAUUCCUACAUACUAAUUUCUAUUGGUUCCCAAACUCCUUUCAUCUGUUUGCAGGUAGGGCAGCAGCUAUUUGUUUUGGCUGAGCUGACAUCACCUUUACCUCUAUUAGCAGAUUAUAGAUCAUAGAACCACAGAAUGGUGAUGGUUGGGCCUUUGAAGGAUGACCUUUAAUGCUCAUCUACUCCAAUACCCUGCAAGAAGCAGGGACUUCUUCAACUUGACCAGAGCCCUGCCCAAACCUGGCCUUGAAUGUUCCCAGGGGUGGGACACCUACCACCUUUCUGAGCAACCUAUUCCAGUGUCUCACCACCCUCAUCAUAAAAAAUGUCUUGCUUAUAGGUCCAUGUCUUUUCAGUGCUGAGGACCCCAGAGCUGAAUGCAGGACUCCAGGUGGGAUCUUGCCCCAAGCAAAGCAUCUCUGAAUCACCUCCGUUUACCUGCUGGCCACACCGCUUUUGAUGCAGCCCAGGAUGCAUCUGACUUUGAAAGCUAACUUAAUUUAGAUGUGCCACUGACAUGCUUCAGUAAAUUUUGAAUUAUUUCUUGAACUUUGAGUAAUGUGAAAUACGAAGUAUUUUUCAUAAUUCAGUGCUUGAAAACUAAACAGUUUUUGAAAAUGAUGUAAUGCUCUAACAUCCCACGGUACUUGGAAACAUUGGAAAAGCAUUCACUUGGAAAGCAUUCUCAGAUACGGCAACUAAGCUCAUUAAGGUGUAUAAAUGCUUCAGAAAAGAAAAUGCUACAUGUGGAGUUAAAUCAGGGGAGGGAUAAAGGUAAUGCCUGAUACACAGACUGAGAGUAGGAGAUCUCAGUUCAGAAAUAUAUUCUUUGCUUCUUGUAUCCUGGCUAGAUUUUACUCUGGAUGCCUUCUGCACUGUAUUAAUACCUUUUCUUUACAUUUGUUCCUACAGAAACACUGUCAUAGAGUUCAGCAGAGAUAGGCCCAAGACCACUGCAAAACCCAGGGAAAUGCACAACCCACCUUCUGUCUCAUAAAUUACCUCUACAUUAAAAAAAAUAAUUAUAACUCAUAUGACUCAUCUAAAAUGUUCUUUGUGGGCAAAACCCUAAUAUAUUUAGAAACCGAGGUUUUAUUCUUCCACAUUUCUGUCCUAAGGAAGAUCAAACUCAGAUCUAUGUACCUGAUGUGUGUUCUCCCUGUAUAUGAGAGUGAUUUAAUUCACAUAAUAUGCACCUGCUAUAAAUACUUGUUUUCAAGGAAAAGU